AUAAAAGAGGGUCGAAAUAAUAAAUGACUCGACGGAACGAACUAGCACCCAGAUUUCUGCAAGAACCUCGGGAGUCUCACGUGCUCGCUUGCCAGGAAGAGCAGAAAUGGGUUAAAACAACAUUGUCCUCGUUAACUGUUGGCAUCAGGUGAAUACUGUGCCAGGGUCGCAUUAUUAAACCAACCAGGAUACAGAUCUACAAGGCAAACUAAAGGUUUCAACUGCUAUUCAGCGCCUCCUCAUUUGUCCCGGAGCCCUAACAGUGGUGCCUUUUCUUCCCUGGCUGCUUUUCCCUGCUUCUGGAGCAGCAGUUAUGGUAGAAGCAGAUGGCUACUGAUUGGCACUGAAGACAUUACCUGUGUCCCCAAAUUGCACCAAAGACAGUCAAAGAACAUGGUCCUUGGUCAUG